UUUCUAGUUAUCUUUGAAAGUGAUCAAGACAGGCACAGCACAGGAAGCAGCCACGCAAGCUUCUCCCAUACCCUUAUGCAUGAGCCAUAACUCUGACCUGGAAGGACCCCUCUAGAAAGACCUAUGUAAUUCAAGGACCACAUGAUAUUCCAUGGCCUCA
rnacentral:sRNA from 1 species